rnacentral:rRNA from 1 species
UACAGAGGUCUCAAGCGUUGUUCGGAUUCAUUGGGCGUAAAGGGUGUGUAGGUGGCGCGCUAAGUCGGGUGUGAAAUUUCGGAGCUUAACUCCGAAACUGCAUUCGAUACUGGCGUGCUUGAGGACUGGAGAGGAGACUGGAAUUCAUGGUGUAGCAGUGAAAUGCGUAGAGAUCGUAAGGAAGACCAGUGGCGAAGGCGGGUCUCUGGACAGUUCCUGACACUGAGGCACGAAGGCCAGGGGAGCAAACGGG